AACGAACGCUGGCGGCAUGCCUAACACAUGCAAGUCGAACGAGACCUUCGUGUCUAGUGGCGCACGGGGGCGUAACGCGGGGGAACCUGCCCUUAGGUUCCGAAUAACUCCCCGAAAGGGGUGCUAAGACCGGAUAAUGUCUUCGGACCAAAGAUUUAUUGCCUUAGGAUGGGCGCGCGUUGGAUUAGCUGGUUGGUAGGGUAAAAGCCUACCAUGGCGACGAUCCAUAGCUGGUCUGAGAGGAUGAUCAGCCACACUGGGACUGAGGCACGGCCCAGACUCCUACGGGAGGCAGCAGUAGAGAAUAUUGGACGCUGGGCGAAGACCUGAUCCAGCAAUGCCGCGUGAGUGAUGAAGGCCUUAGGGUUGUAAAGCUCUUUUACCCGGGAUGAUAAUGACAGUAACGGGAGAAUAAGCACCGGCUAACUCCGUG
rnacentral:rRNA from 1 species